rnacentral:rRNA from 1 species
GACGAACGCUGGCGGCGUGCUUAACACAUGCAAGUCGAACGAUGAAGCCCAGCUUGCUGGGUGGAAGAGUGGCGAACGGGUGAGUAACACGUGAGUAACCUGCCCCGAACUCUGGGAUAAGCGCUGGAAACGGCGUCUAAUACUGGAUAUGUCCCAUCACCGCAUGGUGUGUGGGUGGAAAGAUUUAUCGGUUCGGGAUGGACUCGCGGCCUAUCAGCUUGUUGGUGAGGUAAUGGCUCACCAAGGCGACGACGGGUAGCCGGCCUGAGAGGGUGACCGGCCACACUGGGACUGAGACACGGCCCAGACUCCUACGGGAGGCAGCAGUGGGGAAUAUUGCACAAUGGGCGCAAGCCUGAUGCAGCAACGCCGCGUGAGGGAUGACGGCCUUCGGGUUGUAAACCUCUUUUAGUAGGGAAGAAGCGAAAGUGACGGUACCUGCAGAAAAAGCACCGGCUAACUACGUGCCAGCAGCCGCGGUAAUACGUAGGGUGCAAGCGUUGUCCGGAAUUAUUGGGCGUAAAGAGCUCGUAGGCGGCUUGUCGCGUCUGCUGUGAAAACCCGAGGCUCAACCUCGGGCCUGCAGUGGGUACGGGCAAGCUAGAGUGCGGUAGGGGAGAUUGGAAUUCCUGGUGUAGCGGUGGAAUGCGCAGAUAUCAGGAGGAACACCGAUGGCGAAGGCAGAUC